UACGAAGGGUGCAAGCGUUACUCGGAAUUACUGGGCGUAAAGCGUGCGUAGGUGGUUUUUUAAGUCCGUUGUGAAAGCCCUGGGCUCAACCUGGGAAUGGCAGUGGAUACUGGAAAGCUAGAGUGCGGUAGAGGGUAGUGGAAUUCCCGGUGUAGCAGUGAAAUGCGUAGAGAUCGGGAGGAACACCAGUGGCGAAGGCGGCCUUCUGGACCAAUACUGACGCUCAUGCACGAAAGCGUGGGGAGCAAACAGG
rnacentral:rRNA from 1 species